ACAAAGUCUUCCGGACUUAGUGGGCGGACGGGUGAGUAACACGUGGGAACGUGCCCUUUGGUACGGAAUAACUCAGGGAAACUUGAGCUAAUACCGUAUGUGCCCUUCGGGGGAAAGAUUUAUCGCCAUUGGAGCGGCCCGCGUCUGAUUAGCUAGUUGGUGGUGUAAUGGACCACCAAGGCGACGAUCAGUAGCUGGUCUGAGAGGAUGAUCAGCCACAUUGGGACUGAGACACGGCCCAAACUCCUACGGGAGGCAGCAGUGGGGAAUCUUGCGCAAUGGGCGAAAGCCUGACGCAGCCAUGCCGCGUGAAUGAUGAAGGUCUUAGGAUUGUAAAAUUCUUUCACCGGGGACGAUGAUGACGGUACCCGGAGAAGAAGNCCCGGCUAUUUUCUUUUUUCAGCCGCGGUAUUCUAAGGGGGGGGGGGGGGGUNACCCCCCGC
rnacentral:rRNA from 1 species